CCUUGGUGAUGUAGAAAAUAUGGAAGAAGCCAGGAAGGCGAGUUUGCAUACAAAAUCGAAUAUUGAGCAUUUAACGUUAGUGUGGAGAAAGGAUGAAGAUGUGAUGGAAGAAAAAGAAUACAACGAUGAGGAUGUGAUGGAAGGAUUAGAACCUCAUGCAAAUCUAAAAGCAUUGGAUGUUGGCAACUUUAUGGGAAAGAAGUUUGCAGCAUGGAUUACAUUCAUGACAAACUUGGAAGUUAUCACCUUCAAAAAUUGCAAAAGAUGUGAAGAGUUUCCGCAGCUGGGUCAUCUUUCUAAAUUGAGGAGUAUUUAUAUAUCAGGGAUGGAUAACGUCAAGUUUAUAAGCAGCCAUUUAUGUGGAGGUCAGGGUAGCAUUAGGAGUGAAUUAGAUGAAAAUGGGGCAGAAGAAACAGUUGCAACAAUGUAUCCGUCAUUGAAAAAUCUUUAUUUAUGGGAUAUGCCAAAGCUAGAAGAAUGGGUAGACCCAUCUAUGGAUACAAGCGGUGAAGACCCACAUAAUGUGCUAGCAUUUCCUAAACUCGAGAUGUUAGUUAUUCAGAGAUGUUCAAAGUUGACGAGGAUUCCAAGUAGUUGUUUUCCGUUGAUGAAGACACUGCAUAUCACAGACUUGGACAGCAGCAAGCUACUGGAAUCAUUGAGCGGAAAGGCAUGCGGUCUCACAUGCCUAGACCUCGAUAAUAUCGGUGGCGGAGUAGGGUGCUCUUCCUCUUCCUCUUUGCCUUGUUCAAGUAUGAACUGCAUAAUGGGCGAGCUCUUGAAAAACAAUUCUGUGUCUUUGGAAACUUUGAGUGUACGAAGGUUACAGGGAUUGACAUACUUGACACUUGGCGAAGGUUUAAAGAGCUUAAGCGUGAGUGAUUUGCCAGACUUGAAUACAAUUAAUGUUGUCAAAGGGUCGGAUGCUCUAAAACAUCUUUCUAUUUCGUGGUGUCCGAACUAUGAGGUGCUUGCCCAAAAUGUGAAUUCUACAAUUGAAACUUUGGAAUUGGGAGACUUCUGGGAGGAUUUAGAUGAAUUCCCAUGGCCCUCGUCCUUUUCUUUUCCCAAUGUAAUCAACCUAAGAGUGCGGGGAUGGGAAAAGCUAAAGUGGAUAGUGGAUCAAGGACGACCUGAUAAUUAUCUCACCUCCAUCUUCCCUGCCCUGCGUCAAUUGGACAUAAUCAAUUUUCAAGGAGUGAAAUCUCUUCCCAUUUCUCUAGCACAGCUUCCAUUUCUGGAGCGGUUAUCUAUUUGGAGUUGUGGAAAUUUGGAGAGUUUGCCAAAGUUCCAUGACAACUUUCAGUUCCUAGAUAUAUUUGGUUGUCCAGUAAUAUGAGAAAGAUACAGGAAGGGAAGUGGGCCAGAAUGGUCCAAAAUCCAACACAUCAAACAAAUAGUUGGGCUUGAUUGACGAGAGUAAUGACACCUGGAGGACGAGCAGAGGAUGCCACAUUAAUUUUGGGACAUUAAUCUCUUUUUUCUUUUAAAUAAUUAACUUGCAUAUGCUGGGUUGUAUGAGGUUUUUAAUAACUCUAGAGACUAGAGUACUACUGUACAGUAAUUUUGUGCCAAUAAUUUUUAAUAAUUCCUAUCAGUUUCAUAUCAAUUCAUCAUUAAGUGUUUUCCCCUGCAACUUGUAGUGUGUAAUGGUUGGCAAUUGUUUUAGUUACACCUAAAUUGUUUGCAGGAGGAGAAGGUGACUCUCUCUUGAAAUUGUAUUGUUUUUAUUUUUUGUUAUAGAAUUUUCGGGAAAAUUAAUUUAAAUGUCCCUGAACUAUUGGUGUUUUAUUGUCUGGGUCCCUGAAAUAAAGAUUCCAAUAUCCGGGUCACUUACGUUUUCAGUUUUCUUGUUUGAGUCCUUCCGUUAACUGAGAUUCUAACGGACGUUAGAAUCUCGAUGACGUGGCAGAAUUAAUGACAAGUGUAUAUGAAUUUUAUUUUAAGGAUCCCUGAACUAUUAGUAAUUUCCUUAUUUGAGUCCUUUCAAUGAUUNUAAAAUUUAUAUGUACUAAGAUACUAACAUUUAAUCGGCUUAGAAGGUAUUCAAUCUUUAGUACAACUUAAGUUUUUUAAUUCGUAAUUAUUUUAGACGUCUAAAAGAUAAUAUUAUGUGUCACACUAAUUGGAAUUUUUGCAAAAUUAAUAUUGAUAGUUAUUUGACAAAUUAAUAUUGAAUUGUUACAGAGCUUUUAAGUUAAAUAAAUUCAAAAUUGAUUUGUUAUUAGAUUUUUUGACAAUGUCUUCUGAGCUUUUUUUUUUUACAAUAUAACUAUAACCUUUGCGUUUUUUUUAACAGAACCUUUGCGUUUGUUAUGACAAUAUUCUUGGCAAGUCUCUUUUACAUGUCAUUUAUUCUGUGAUAUAAAAAACUAAUACUAAAUUAAGAUUAAGAUACAUAAAAACACGAGUUAAAACAUUAAUAUAACACAGUAAAAUAAACAUUAAUAUAUUUAUUAAUAUAACACAAUAAAUAUAUUAAUGUUUAUUUACACAAUAAAUAAAUUAAUGUUUAUUAAUUAAUUAAUUAAUUAAUAUACGAAAUAAAAAUUUACAAAUUAAAAAACUUAAUUUGUACUAAAGAUUGAAUAGCUUACAAGUCGAUUAAAUGUUAGUAUCUUAAUACAUAAUAAAUUUUAAAUUAACAAAAGGACUCAAACAAGAAAAUUACUAAUAGUUCAGGGAUCUUUAAAAUAAAAUUCAUAUACACGUUUCAACAAUCCUGCCACGUCAUCGAGAUUCUAACGUCCGUUAGAAUCUCAAUUAACGGAAGGACUCAAACAAGAAAAUUGAAAACAUAAAUGACCCGGAUAUUGGAAUCUUUAUUUCAGGGACCCAGACAAUAAAACACCAAUAGUUCAGGGACCUUUAAAUUAAUUUUCCCUAGAAUUUUCCUUAUUUGUUGUUACUUUUCUUUGUUGUAUUUUCAGCUCUUCCUUUGCAAAAUCAAAAGCUGUCUCUCUCUUUUGUUACUUUUGUUCACUUUUCAUUAAUAAUCAUAAUGUUUUUUGUUUUUUUUUUGCAGAUUAAUGGUCUCGGAGAUUAGUUGAUAUCAUGUGUGUGUAAGAGGUCGGAAGUGUGUGACUUGUAUCUGUCCAUUUUCUCCGAGACAGAGCUUUGACCAAUGCAAUAGGAAAUUAAUUUGGCCAUUCAAGAUGCAUAUGCUGAUGCUUUAAACAAAAUUGGUCAUGAACUUGAAGAAAUUGUUGAACGGGUAAUCCAACUCAUAAACAUCUCGAACGUUAAUAAAGCUGAUAUGUGUGUGUGCGCGUGUGCUUAGUGUACUUUGAUAAUAAAAUCGAAUUUUGCAAGGAAAAAGAUGCAGCACUCGGAAAUGGUGGUCUAGGAAGACUUGCAUCUUGUUUUAUAGACUCCAUGGCAACAUUAAGUUUGCCAGCAUGGUGAUAUACUGAUAUGGUUUAAGGUAGAGGUAUGGCCUUUUCAAACAGCGGAUCACCAACGAAGGCCAGGAAGAAAUUGCUAAAGACUGGCUAGGGGUAGAAUACCUUGAUGUCCUUUUGAAUGUUAUAUCUGUUUUUGACCUAGAACUUAACUUGAUUUUUUGUGAAACCCCCUUUAGAAGUUUUUUAAAAGACUUCUAUGUUGAUUUAGAGGGGUGUAUUGGAUUGGGAUUUUAAAGCAUUUUUUUGCAUUCAUGAAAUCCGAGGGUAUUCGAUUGAGAUUGUUUGAAAUCCAUUAAAAUCUUGAGGUAUUCAAUUGGGAUUUUAAAUUAUGCUACAAAAUCUGGUGGUAUUCAAUUGGGAUUUUAAAUUAUGCUUUAAAAUUCUGAGGGUAUUCGAUUGGGAUUGUUUGAAAUCCAUUAAAAUCUGAUGGUAUUCAAAUGCUGAUGGAUUUUUUUUCAUUUCAUAAAAUGAUGGAUUUUGUGGCAUUCUUCAGUGUAUUUUAAGUUUUUUGAAAUCCCACCAAUUUCAAUGGGAUUUUGAAGCAUUGUACUUGAAUCCUAUCAACUCUGUGACAUUUCGUCAAGAAUCCGCACAAAAUCAAAAUCCCAUACAAUCCAUUAAAAUCCAUAAACUAAAAACAAUGCAUCAAAAUCCCAAUCGAAUACACCCCCGUUAGAUUUUGAAACCAUUUUCCAUCAGCAUGAUUGUAUCGCCAACAAAACUGUACAUUUUGAAACAAAACUGUACAUUUUGAUUUUUAAAAUUCAAAUAAUUUAAGUAUAAAAAGACUCAUUAAAAAUUAUUAUCAAGUUCUAGAAUUCAAAUAAAUAAAGAGCUCAAUUAUUUUUACCAAAUUCAUAUUAGUAUAUAAUUUAACAAAUUUUAUCUUUCAUAAGAUUGUGAUAAAGACGAAAAAUAAGGUAGUGAUAAUACUGUCACGAUCGUAAUCGACUCAAAUUUUUCAGUAAUUAUUUAUUAGUAUGUUAUUAAUUUUAUAAAAGAGAAGAAAUAAAAUUUUAUAUUUAAUUUCAAUUUGUUGGAUUUUGAAAAAUAAUUUUGUAAGUUAUUGCAGUUAUAUGAUUAUUUGGCUUAAUUAUGUUACGUGUUGAAAGUGCAGUUUUAAUUGUUUAUUUUCUGUCUGAGCGAUUAAAUUAAAAUUUCAGCUAUUUUAUUGUUUUUAAUAAAUUAAUAUUGUCCUUUGGUUUCAAAAUCAAAGUUUGUAUUUAUCUGAGCUCGAAAUUUUUUUAUCUAAUUGAAAUUAUCAAUAUAUUCAAGUAUUUCGGUAUUUAUAUAUUUUUUAUUGAAUUCAAAAAUAUUUAAAAAGUUUAAAGGAUUAUUUCAAUCAUUUGCCAUUUUAAAAAUAAUUUUCAGAAAUUAUUUACAAAAAUCUAGAAUGGUUUGAAAUAUUAUCUUUAGAAAUAUUGUAUAAUUGGACAAUUUAGAAAUUUUAAUUUAGAAAAUAUUUCUAGGCUCCAAAAUUUGAUUAACCGCAGAAUAGUUUUAUUUCGAAAUUCGAGGCUGAGAUCGUUAUAUAUCAGUAACUUUUUUAAAUCAUUUAUUACCAUUGUUUUUUUUAGCAAGUGAUGCGCCGCAAUUGGGGAAUAAAAUUGCCACAUUUCUAUUUUUGUGGAUCAAAUUAACUAAUUUUUCAUCAAAAAUUAUAAGUCAUUUUUUCAUUAUUUUAAAAAAUUGAAAAUCAGUAGAUUAAAAGUUAUUUCCAGUGAUAUAUAUUUUUUUAUUUUUGGGAUAAUAAUUUUUUUUUACCAUCCAACUUAUUAUUUAUUUAGAAACCUACCACUGAAUUAUAAUUUUUUUUCUUUUUUAUCACUAAUGUUAGGUUCGGAUUUUUUUGUUACUAAGUUAAGUUCGGAUUUGAUUAUUGACACUAUAUUAUUCUUGUUAGAUUUAUUAAAAUAUAGUGGUAGUCUGCAAUAUAAUGGUGGUGAUAUAUGUCUAUAUCCUUAUAUGUAGUACUCAAAGGCACAUGUUUAGCCUAUUUGUAAUUAAAGAGGUACUAACUCAACUCUGAUAAGAAAGCAAGUUAAAUAGCAAGUACUGUUGAAGAAAUCCGUACGAAGAACGUCAAGUGAUUUAUUGAAAUUAUAUGUCUGAAGAAUUUCAGGAUGCUGCUGCAGCACACUACUGAAAGAGGUUCAUUAAUAUGUUCAAACCUCAGUGUACAAAUAAUUUGUUAUUUUACACCAACUAUAAGAAAGAUUGUAGAAGGGGGGGGGGGGGUGGAAUUUUACAAAUUAAAAGAUUCAAGAAACAAUACACUUAAUCACAGUAAAACAGAAAACACCAAGUAUUUAAAAAUACGGGUGGAUUGAAUGAUCCGAUCCACCGUGAGAUUUUAUAUAGAAGAAUCUGUGGAUUGAUUACAAUUCGCACAGCUGCUGGUUCAUCACUCAAACAAGUUCUAACUCUCAGAUUUUUCUCUCAAGUAAUUUGAACAAGUUCAACUGAUGCUACUAACUUGGUUAUAUACUCCAAGUUUUACAAAGCUUUUAGCUAGAUUACAAAAUGCACUCUAAUCUAAAAACAAUGCUGCACAACUUUGUCUUAUGCAUGCUUUCUGAGAUGUCUUCAUCUUUGACCAUCAUCUUGAUUUGAUCCAGAUUGCACUGCAUGAGAUAAGUAUGUUUCUGCUUCUUCUUUAUUUUCCUAAUUAGGCUUCCAUGUCUAUUUUAGUGUAAUUCGAUCCAUGUGAUUUGUCAGACUUAAGCUCUAGUCACUUUCAACUGCUCUUUGCUUCAUCAGUUGAAAGUUCUGGUUGCUUUCAACUGCUCUUGACUUUAUCAGUUGAAUGCCCGGCUCAUCAGUUGAAUGAAUUACAAACUCCAUCAGUUGAAUGCUGUUCCAGUCUCAUCAGUUGAAUUCCUCAGCAUCAUCAGUUGAACACUUUGUCUUCAGUUGAAUGCUUGAUUUUCAUCAGUUGAAACAUCAUCCAGUCUUCAUCAGUUGAAUAGUUACAUCUCAUCAGUUGAAUAUCCUUCACUUAGAUAAAAUUACAUGGCAUUGGAUAUUUACAAUUAGCCAUCCUAUUCUACCCAUCCGUUGAUAAUUCCCAAAGACAAGAAAUAUAACAAUUACAACUGAAAUUCGAUAAAGAUUCUAAGUAAGACAUGUUACAAAAUGUUUAUGUUAUCAUAAAAAAUUAUUGAUUCCUAACAUAAUUUUUUGUAGCAUGUUCAGAAGUCUAGAAGAUAUAAAGUUUUAAUACUUUAUUUAUACAGAAGAUUCCAUACUAUUUUUAUUUAUGAAGAAGAACUACGAAGACAAAGACUCGACGAACAAGCCACGUCUCAAAUGUUUAUUUGAUAAAGAAUAUUUGAUUCAGCUAGACACAGAUGAACCGGACAGUACACUUAUGUGUCAGCUACUCAGAUUAAAUGUUCUGCACCAGCUAUAGGUGGCCGUUUAAUCAAGACAAAGAUCUACAACGUUCAACAAAGUCUGAAGUCCCUGCUGUUGAAGGAAAAUGAUUUUAUAAGUAUUUAUUUAAUUAUUUCACUUAUCAAAUUAAUUAAAUUAGUUGUAUAAUUUAUUUGUUAAAUUGAUUCACCUUCAAAUUGAUUUAAUUUAUGAAUUUAUAUGAUUAAUAUAAUUAAUUGAGUAAUUAUUGAAUAUAUAUUUAAUUAAAAACAUAUGGUUUUAUACAUUUUAUAACUCGGUAUGAUUUUAUUAAAUAAUGUCAUACCGUGCUAAUCAUACCGACUUUAGCAGUCGAUAUGACUUUGUUUUACAAAAUCAUACCUUGUCCUCUUCUAUGACAUUCUCCACAUGACAUUGAAUAUGUCAUGCCGUGUAUUGGUAUAUGACAUUCCACAUGUCAUACCGUGUAUUGCUGUAUGACAUUUUAUAUGUCAUACCGUUUGUGACUGUAUGACUUAAAAAGUCAUACCGCCUGUUGUCUUAUGGCUUUGUCUGAAUAUGUCAUGCCAACUGACCCUUGAAGGCCCAGAAAAGAAGGUCAUAUCGCGCCUGGUAGUAUGACAUUCUUCAAAUAUGUCAUUCCUUCUCUUCUUUUGGCAUGUCUUUGCUUUGUAAUGUCAUUCUUAAGUUAGAAUGUCAAUCCUAUUAAUGUCAUACCUAGUUCCAAGUGAUUUGCCUAUAAAUAUGGCAUCACUUCUUCAUAUGUAAAGUGUUCAAGCAUUGUAAAAGUUUUCAAGUUGUUUGUAACUUGCUAUUGUUAUAUCCACAGUUUUCUGUACUUUGAUCACUCGGUUGUUUUAUACCGCUAAGUUAGAAUACUUCAUGUCGAAUUUAUUCUACGAACUAGUGGACAUUAAAACGAAUCAUAUUAAUUAUAUAACGACUUAACCAUUGUUAUACUAAUUAAUCUUAAUCUGAUUAACAAGUCGUAUACUAAUCAGAUUUAUUCCUCCGCGAUUAUUUUUAAGUGACGAUUGUAUUCAAUCCCCCUUCUACAAUCGUUCCAGGACCUAACAAGUACUUUAUAUGUGUCCUAGGUAGUUUAUUUUGGGGGACGAGAGUUUGAAUUUUUUUACUUAGAAUUUUUUUUACCCAGAGGACGUAUACAUGACUAUAUAUAGUGUUAUAGAUACAUAUCAUAUCAUCAAAAUAUUGCAGACUAUCAAUAUAUUGUUAUAAUGCUAAAAAAAUUACAUAUUUUUAUUAAUCAAAUAAAAAUCUAACGUCAGUGACCAAAAAAAUCCAACAUUUUUUUAAAGAAAAAACCCAACAUUAAAUUCAAAUGUUAAAUAUUAUUCAGAAAAAAAUAAAAUAAAAUAAUUUUUGAAACCAAAAUUUUUAGGAGACUCAAAAUGCGUGUCCAACUCUCGUCCUCCAUAGUAAACUACCCAGGACACAUAUGUAGUAAUACAUACUCCCUCUAUUCUACUCAAUGGUCUACGUAUACUGUUUGCACGCAUUUUGAUACUCUUAUAAAAUAUAGUUUCGUAUAAAGAUAUUCCAGACUAACACUAUAUUUCAAUGAUGCUAAAAAGAAUAACAUAAUGUUAAUAAUAAUGUUCGAACUUAAUGUUAGUGAUAAAAAAAUCUGAACCUAAGAUUAAUGAAAAAAAAGAAAAAAUUAUAUUUCAGUUGUAUAUUUUUAAAUAAAUAAUAAGUUGGGUGGUAAAAAAAUUUAUUUUUUCAUUAUUUUUCUAUUUUGGUCAAUUUCGGCACGAAACCGGUGACAACCGGGACGGAGGGAGUAAAAACUAAAAACAGACGUAAGAACACAUGACUACAUGAGUCGGUUGGAAAAGAGGUUUCAGUCGGUGCUCUACAAAUCGAAGUUAGGGUUCAUCAAACUGCGGGGAUCGAAAUCAAUUGAUUGUGUAUGUUGGUUUGGUUUGUGAAUGUUGAUACAUUCAUAUACAUAAAUCGGGGUUGUUCAGCUGGUACAAGUGGCGGCAAAGACGGUGACGGUGGCGGAGUAAGCUGGGAUUCGGCGGUGAUACGGGAGCACAUGUGUCUUUAACCAACUUUCAGCAAAGGUCUCACCAAUAUGCCGGUAUUGUGAUCUCUGCAAUUCUCACUGGGCCCUGUGGAAUCACAAUUGUUUAUAUUUGAGCUUCAAGAGAUUAGUUUGAUAAUGUCUAAUAAUAACGAUAACUAAUAAUCUCAAUAACAUUAAAUCAUCAAUAAUCGAUUAAUUUAUGUUUCGACUUCAUUUUAAACAGUUGAGAAUUAUUGUCAUGGUGAUCGGAGACUGUUAUAAAUUAUAGUUUAUAUUUAUCCAUGAAAUUGUUGGAUUAUGGUAGGUGUAAAGUGGCCUAGUUGACAAGUUGCCAAGGUUGACAGAGUCGGCCAAGUUGACGAGUUGGCCGUGUUGUUGCUGAUACAAAUUGAUUUUUUAGUACCCAUCAUUCACUCUUGUCUGCAGAACCCUCUUCGGGCAAAGAAUCAAAUUAUUUCCAUGUUAUUUUACUUCUGCGUAGUGUAAUUGUUGAAGUAUCAAAUUAUAAUCUCCAUACAUUACAAACAUUUGUUUUCCUAUACUCAUAAACAUGGCUGAUGCAUUUGUAACUGAUCUUGCCAGUGGCCUGGUUUUCAAGCUUGUUUCACUUGCGGCUGAAGAAGUGAUCCAGGCUUGGAAUCUUCAGGAAAAUCUGGUAAUGCUGCGAGAAAGGUUGGAAACUAUUGAUGCUCUCUUGUCUGAUGCUGAUAGCAAAAAGCUUAACAUGUCUGCUGUCCAGAGCUGGUUCAACAAGCUGGAGGAUGUUGCUCGUGAAGCUGAUGCUUUCAUGGAUGAACUUGCUUAUGAAGUCACUCGGCGAAAGGUUGAAAAUCGCGGUAUGUUAGGGCAUUUCUUUUCUACUAAAAACAGCGUACUUUAUCGUUCUAAGGUUGCUCAUAAGAUCAAGUCUAUCCAUACUUCUUUCGACAAUAUUUUUCAAUUGGCCAGAGAUCUCGGACUUCAGCCUGUGGCGCAGUUAACUACUACUGUGCAGCCCAGGGAAAUGCGCAAUACUCCCCCCUUUGAAUACGAGUCGCUAAUAGUGGGAAGAGAUGAUGAAAUAUCAUUUUUAGUCGAUGCAGUGUGCACAAAUCAUGCGGAGGAUUUGCCAGUCAUUGCUGUCAUGGGGAUGGGAGGUCAAGGCAAAACAACUCUUGCUCGUAUGGUUUACAAUAGUGAUGUUGUCACCGAUACGUUCAAGAAGAGGAUGUGGGUCACUGUAUCAGAUGAUUUUGAUUUCAUGAAGAUUUUAAAUCAAAUGGUAGCAUCACUCACUUCAACUGCUUCCGUGUUGGAAAAUACAGAAGGACUCAUCAAAAUUCUUCAAAACUCUUUAAGGGGGUAAAGUUUUUACUCGUCCUAGAUGAUGUCUGGAACGAGAGACCAGAACAGUGGGAUAACUUAAGGAAUUCCUUGCUCGGGGUUGGUGGGGCGAGAGAAAGUAAGAUUUUAAUUACGACUCGCAAACAGAAAGUCGUUGAAGUCAUGCGAUGUCUUAUUACUCAUAGGGUGGAGAAAUUAUCAGAAGAAGAUAGCUGGGAAUUGUUCAAGCGAAGAGCAUUUUCACGAGGAGGAGUUUUAGAGACGGCGAAAUUUGCAGCCAUGGGAAGAAAAAUGGUGGAAAGGUGUGGUGGCCUGCCUUUGGCCAUAAAAGCACUAGAGGGUUUACUGCACUCUAAGAAGUCUGAGCAAGAGUGGUUGCGGAUUCAAGAUAGUGCAACGUGGGAUUCGAAUGAUGAUGUAUUGCCUUCCUUGAGGUUGUCUUAUGAUAAUCUACCUCAUUCUUCUCUAAAAAAAUGUUUUGCAUAUUGUUCAAUUUUGCCAAAGGAUUCUGAAAUCUGGAAAGAUGAAAUGGUAUGUAUCUGGAUGGCAUUAGGAUUCCUUUUGCCCCCUAAAGGUAGCAAUAAGCUGAUGGAAGAUAUAGGGAGCGAAUACUUUAAUAUAUUGUUGUGGAAUUGUUUGUUACAAGAUGGUGAAAGGAAUUAUGAAGGCGGCAUAUAUUCCUACAAGAUGCAUGAUCUAGUGCACGAUCUCGCACUAGAUCUAUCUAAACAUCAUUCGGUAACUGUCAAAGCUGAUCAUGAGUUAAACGAUAUUUCCAAGGCCAUAUAUGUGAGGGUUGAUGAAGGGAUUUCAAAUAUUAAGCCACCCAUUCUUAGGAGAAAUUUUGAGAAAGUACAAGUAUUAUAUGCAGAGUCUCGCAUCGUUAGGGACUUGGUGCCUUACCCGAGGCACUUGAUUGGUUUGGUUCUAAAACAUAGCUACGAAGGUGAGUUGCCAAAUUCACUGAGCAAUCUGAAGUAUCUUAAGUAUUUGGAUAUCUCAAGAUGCUACAAUAUGAAUAAAUUACCUGAUUACAUUGCAAGACUCUAUAACUUGCAGACAUUGAGCGUCCAGAGCGCAACACAGCUUCCUAGAAAUAUUUGCAACUUAAUCAAUUUAAGACAUAUUCUGGUCUUUGAUAGUUAUUACAAUGACGUUGAGAGUUCGGACAUGUUUUCUGGGAUAGAGAGGUUAAGUUGUCUUCAAACGCUGCCUCAUUUUGUUGUGAGUAGAGAUCAUCAAUGUGUUAUUGGACAACUGGGAAGUUUCAAAAAUCUUCAAGGUACUCUAAGGCUUUUUGCCCUUGGUGAUGUAGAGAAUAUGGAAGAAGCUAGUAAGACGAGUUUGCAUACAAAAUCGAAUAUUGAGCAUUUAAAGUUAGUCUGGAAAAAGAAUGAAGAUGUGAUGGGAAAAAAAGAAUACAACCAUGAGGAUGUGAUGGAAGGAUUACAACCUCAUGCAAAUCUAAAAGAAUUGACUGUUGAGAACUUUACGGGAAAGAAGUUUGCAACUUGGAUUACAAUCAUGACAAACUUGGAA
rnacentral:lncRNA from 1 species